GAUGAACGCUGGCGGCGUGCUUAACACAUGCAAGUCGAACGGAAAGGCCCAAGCUUGCUUGGGUACUCGAGUGGCGAACGGGUGAGUAACACGUGGGUGAUCCGCCCUGCACUUCGGGAUAAGCCUGGGAAACUGGGUCUAAUACCGGAUAGGACCACAUUUUGGAUGGUGUGGUGGAAAGUUUUUCGGUGUGGGAUGAGCUCGCGGCCUAUCAGCUUGUUGGUGGGGUAAUGGCCUACCAAGGCGUCGACGGGUAGCCGGCCUGAGAGGGUGUACGGCCACAUUGGGACUGAGAUACGGCCCAGACUCCUACGGGAGGCAGCAGUGGGGAAUAUUGCACAAUGGGCGCAAGCCUGAUGCAGCGACGCCGCGUGGGGGAUGACGGCCUUCGGGUUGUAAACUCCUUUCGCUAGGGACGAAGCGUUAUGUGACGGUACCUGGAGAAGAAGCACCGGCUAACUACGUG
rnacentral:rRNA from 1 species